rnacentral:rRNA from 1 species
GAUGAACGCUGGCGGCGUGCCUAAUACAUGCAAGUCGAGCGAACAGAUAAGGAGCUUGCUCCUUUGACGUUAGCGGCGGACGGGUGAGUAACACGUGGGUAACCUACCUAUAAGACUGGAAUAACUCCGGGAAACCGGGGCUAAUGCCGGAUAACAUUUAGAACCGCAUGGUUCUAAAGUGAAAGAUGGUUUUGCUAUCACUUAUAGAUGGACCCGCGCCGUAUUAGCUAGUUGGUAAGGUAACGGCUUGCCAAGGCAACGAUACGUAGCCGACCUGAGAGGGUGAUCGGCCACACUGGAACUGAGACACGGUCCAGACUCCUACGGGAGGCAGCAGUAGGGAAUCUUCCGCAAUGGGCGAAAGCCUGACGGAGCAACGCCGCGUGAGUGAUGAAGGUCUUCGGAUCGUAAAACUCUGUUAUUAGGGAAGAACAAAUGUGUAAGUAACUGUGCACGUCUUGACGGUACCUAAUCAGAAAGCCACGGCUAACUACGUG